GUUGAGGUGGCAGAGUCCGGUAAAUGCGAAAGACCUAAGCCCUUUUUCCCAGAGGUUCAAAUCCUCUCCCCAACU
rnacentral:tRNA from 1 species